AGUGAACGCUGGCAGUGGGCCUAACACAUGCAAGUCGAACGGCAGCACAGUAAGAGCUUGCUCUUACGGGUGGCGAGUGGCGGACGGGUGAGGAAUACAUCGGAAUCUACUUUUUCGUGGGGGAUAACGUAGGGAAACUUACGCUAAUACCGCAUACGACCUACGGGUGAAAGCAGGGGAUCUUCGGACCUUGCGCGAUUGAAUGAGCCGAUGUCGGAUUAGCUAGUUGGCGGGGUAAAGGCCCACCAAGGCGACGAUCCGUAGCUGGUCUGAGAGGAUGAUCAGCCACACUGGAACUGAGACACGGUCCAGACUCCUACGGGAGGCAGCAGUGGGGAAUAUUGGACAAUGGGCGCAAGCCUGAUCCAGCCAUACCGCGUGGGUGAAGAAGGCCUUCGGGUUGUAAAGCCCUUUUGUUGGGAAAGAAAAGCAGCAGGUUAAUACCCCGCUGUUCUGACGGUACCCAAAGAAUAAGCACCGGCUAACUUCGUG
rnacentral:rRNA from 1 species